UUUUAUCUUAAUUGUUUUUUAUUUUGUUGUGUGUUUGUUUGCCUUCAAUUUGUACUUGAGUAUUUAGGAAUAAUUUUACUUGAGUAUUUAGGAAUAAUUUAACUUAUAAGUUUUUUGUAUUCUAAUGUUACUUCUUGCGCAACGUGUUUUAAUAAUUUUCUAAAAAGUAUAUCAGCGUAAUUUGUUUAAAAUGGAUCAAGUUAGGGUAUUUGGCUGAGCAGUAGUAUGUCCUCUCAAAUGUUGCAACAUAAGAAGGCUUUGACGCAGACGUAGAGGUGGGUUUUAUUUGCUUGUUUUGAGGAUGUUACCCCGACGGGAGUUUCUAGAAAUGAGCAUUAAAACAUUCGAAACGUCAAAUACCAGAGUAUUAUCUUUAUAAGGAUCAAUACAAUGUCCACUUCCUGACGAGAAUCUGGUAUUAUACUACAUAAUUUUGAAUUUUAUUUUAACGCUGAUGUAUUUUUAUUUUCUUUCUUUAAACAAUCAUGCGCGCGUUUCCACUUUAUAUUAAAUGUUUGUUUUUGUUGUUUGUUGUAAUACUUCUGCUUUAAAGUUGUACUUUUUAUCUAAAGAAUUGAGUAAUUGUGUUAUAUUAGGUUAAUUGUGUAUCACAUUAUGCUUACCACAACGAUAGCAAUUGUUAAUAGUUGUUUUGAUUUUUGUUAAAUGUUUUUGAAUGUUUAUCUGAUAAAUUCAGAUAGGUUUACUUAGAUAUUCUUUUGUUUUUAUCUGUGGCUGAAGGUAUUCGGGUUGCAUGUAAAUAAACAGAAUUAUUGUAUUUGUUGAUCUUUGAGUAUAUAAAUUAAAUUUAAAACGAAUAUUUUUAUUAUAAGGUUGCAUGCUUUUAAGGUAUUUUUGCACGUUUGCAUGCGUCUAAGGCAUUUACGUCUAAAUAUGUUCCACUAGUGACUAUACUCACUUAUUCUAGUUGCGAACCUGAUAUGUAAAGAGAACAUGAUAAGACUAGACUGAGCGAGACUAAGAACCAUUAUUUACGAACACACAGAUUCAAAGCAAUAAAAACACUAAAUGACACAUAAAACUUUAACGUUUAGAACAAUACAAACACAAAACACAAUAACUUACAGAACACUGCAACAACACGUACUUAAAUCUAACAUGACCACCACUUACUUAACUCAAACUUAAUUACUGAAUAGUACCCUUCUUUUAAACAACAACUCUUAAUUCUGGACAUCUGUCCAAAUAUUAUAAUUUAUCUUGCACUUCCUUGCACUUAUAUAAAAUAUUUCUUGCUUCUCUUAAGACUAUUACGGCCUGAUGGUUCCAUAUAAGUGGUGGAACUUUAAUAGCUUCCACUGCGAAACAAUAACAAAAUCACUACUUACUUUUUAUGCGUUCUGAUUGAUUUGUUUUAAAACAAUUUGUUGCAGCUUUUUUUUAAAUUACAUUUUUUUAUACAAUAACAGUCAAAAUAAGCGGUAAACAAGAAUGAAUUUAACAACAUUCAGAUCUCACCUUCAGAUCUUACCUUUAAUAUUUUUUCGAUUUUAGAUUAUUUUCCGUAAACCUGAUGGCGAAUAUGAACAUUAAAGGGAGUAAACGUAAAGGCAGAGAAAACAAAAUAUCGUUUGAAAACCUUAAGUUAAAGGACGUUAUGUUUGAAGCGUUACAAGACAGGUAUACCGUUAGUGAAAAAGAAUUAUUUAGAGUUGUCGGGAAUAAACUAAAGAAUGCACCAGGAAGAUUGAACCAUUCCAUUGAUAUCUAACAUUUAUAUUAUAUUAUAUGUAUAUAGUUUAUGUUAUAGUAUAUAGUUACUUUUUUUAAAUAAAUAAACAAUAAUAUUAUACAA